GUUCUGAUUUUGUUUCAUUACCCCCAAAUAUAAUAAAAUAAAAUACAAUAAAUUUUUAUAUUUUUGCAUAAAUUAAACAGAGUCAAGAUGUAUUACUCUGUUGUAUAUUGUAAAAGCCUAACUGAUGGAGAUUUUGUUACUAGUAUAUUCCAAAUAUUAGAAGGAAAGUCAGUUUUCUCUUUAAAACACUCACCUAACUAAUUAGCAUAAGAGUAAAAUCUAGGAAUAAAAAUUACGUAGUAGUAGAGUGCCACGACCCCCAAAUCUAUAGAAAAGAACCUAAGCCGCAGAUACUUCCCGAAGAUUUCUUUUUAUUACUUUAAUAGAGGAUGCCUUUUCUAAAUUAACCACUAAACAGGUUACUUAAGAGCGCUUAAUUUCAGAGACACGUCCAGUGACUUUGUUUUAUUAACUCUUUGCUUUUCGUAGUUUUGUUUGCAGUGUCCAAAAGACUUAUUUAAAAAGAAAGAAAGAAAGAAAGAAAAAGGCAGCUUUAGGAGAGAUUUUUAAUGUUCAAGGCUUUAUGAGAGAAAUUAGGAUGAAAAGUUAUAAAUGUGUUAAUGCAUGCACAAAAGUAACAGCUCAUACAAACUGAGUAGUCCUUAUUUUGGACUUUCAGCCUCUAGCAUGCUCUUUCUAGAAAGGAAUAAAAGGAUUUUGUGCAGUGUCCCAGGUACCAUAUCAACAGAUACGUGAAUUAAGCAAUCACUGACAUACAAAUACAUUAGGAGAGAAAAACUGUUAUAAGAUUUAACAAGUAGAUAAGUUCAUCUAUCAGGUAAACAUCCUGAGAUAUAAGUAUAAAAGCUACAGGCAGCACAGUGGCUCACGCCUGUAAUCUCAGCACUUUUAGAGCUACUCAGGAGGCUGAGAUGGGAGAAUCUCCUGAGCCCAGGAAGUUGAGGCUGCAGUGAGCCGUGAUCACACCACUGCACUCCACCCUAGUGAUAGGAGUGAGACCCUGUCUCAAAAAACUGCUUCUACAGCACCAAA
rnacentral:lncRNA from 1 species